rnacentral:rRNA from 1 species
AGGCCGAAAGCUUGGCCGGAAAUGACUUCCGGGAAGAUUGUGGUCAUGAAGAUCAUGCGACAUUGUUCGGAUUUGAGGGUAUCUAAGAUACUCUUAGUAACGAAGCGAUUUCGCGUAAUGCGCGGCGUGCGACAGAGUGAGAAAGGAACGUACUUCUGGUACGUGACUGACGAACGAUGGAGCAACAACAAUGCAGUACACGAAAUAAGCGAGUUAGCUGAAUCCGGUGGCUAUAGCGAAAAGGUUACACCUGUUCCCAUCCCGAACACAGAAGUUAAGCUUUUCCGCGCCGAUGAUACUUGGUGGGCGACUGCCUGGGAAAGUAGGUCGUUGCCGGUU